ACAAACAAAAAGAUUUCCAAAGAAACCCCAUGCCCAAAUUAGGUUCCAUAUCNAAGAUACCAACCAACGCUCCAUAGGCCAUACCCCAGAUGAUUCAUCACAAACAAGGGACCACAAAGGUCACUUCNAUGUUCGUUAACGCUGCAAGCAACGUAUUACGAAAGUGAUCUUAUUUUAAAGCAAACAAUGCCAUCAUUUAGGUAUGCAACACAGGAACCCMCUUAAUGCUUAGGGAAAACUUGCCUUUUAGCACAAUUGAAAAGGUAGGAACCCAUGGAAGUUGCUGCCCAAGCAAACAUCCAACCACCCGUAACAAACCAAACACCACUCAUGCACCUUUAGGGUARACAUCCCCAAAGAUCGCCAAAUUUACAACCACCUUCUUGACAUANUANUCAAAAAAA
rnacentral:misc_RNA from 1 species